GCGAGAGUGGCGGAACUGGUAGACGCACUGGAUUUAGGAUCCAGCGGUUCGCACCGUAGGGGUUCGAGUCCCCUCUCUCGCACCA
rnacentral:tRNA from 1 species